rnacentral:rRNA from 1 species
AAUGAACGUUGGCGGCGUGGAUUAGGCAUGCAAGUCGAACGGGUCCGGUCUUCGGAUCGGGUCAGUGGCGCAAGGGUGAGUAAGGCGACGGUAACCAACCCUAUGGUCGGGUAUAGCCGCGGGAAACUGCGGGUAAUCCCCAGCGAUGUAAGAUGCCGGCAUCGGUGUUUUACCAAAGCUCAGGCGCCGUGGGACGGGCCGUUGUGGUAUUAGGUAGUUGGCGGGGUAACGGCCCACCAAGCCGAUGAUGCCUACCGGGCGUGCGAGCGUGGCCCGGCACACUGGGACUGAGACACUGCCCAGACUCCUACGGGAGGCUGCAGUCGAGAAUCUUCGGCAAUGGGCGCAAGCCUGACCGAGCGACGCCGCGUGGAGGAUGAAGGCCUUCGGGUUGUAAACUCCUGUCGAGGGGGAGGAAGGGGAAACCUUGACCGAUCCCUGGAGGAAGCACGGGCUAAGUUCGUGCCAGCAGCCGCGGUAAGACGAACCGUGCGAACGUUAUUCGGAAUCACUGGGCUUAAAGCGCGUGUAGGCGGAUGGGAACGUCGGAUACUGAAAGCCCCCGGCUCAACCGGGGAAGUGGUUCCGAAACGACCUGUCUGGAGGGACGUAGGGGGAUCUGGAACUUCCGGUGGAGCGGUGAAAUGCGUUGAGAUCGGAAGGAACGCCCGUGGCGAAAGCGGGGUCCUGGACGUCUGCUGACGCUGAGACGCGAAAGCUAGGGGAGCAAACGGGAUUAGAUACCCCGGUAGUCCUAGCCGUAAACGAUGGGCACUGGGUAGGGGGCUCGCCGAUGGGCUCUCUGCCGUAGCGAAAGCG